AGGAGGCCUCUGCGAGGCCGUAGAGGCACGUGCGAGCUUGAGCGAGCCCUUGUCAUUCUGUGCGCGCCCGUGCGAGCCCGUGCGAGCCCGUACGAGCCCGUAGGAGGCCUCUGCGAGCCCGUAGAGGCCCGUGUGAGCUUGGGCGAGCUCGUGUCAGCCCGUACGAGCCCGCAUGAGCCCGUAGGAGCCCGUAGGAGGCCUCUGCGAGCCCGUAGAGGCCCGUGCGAGCUUUUGCAAGCCUGUGUCAGCCCGUGCGAGCCCAUACGAGCCCGUAGGAGGCCUCUGCGAGCCCGUAGAGGCCCGUGCGAGCUUGUGCGAGCCCGCACGUGCCCAUGUGAGCCCAUACGAGCCCAUAGGAGGCCUCUGCGAGGCCGUAGAGGCCCGUGCGAGCUUGUGCGAGCCCGUGUCAGCCCAUGCGCGCCCGUGCGAGUCCAUACGAACCCGUAGGAGGCCUCUGCGAGCCCGUAGAGGCCUGUGCGAGAUUGUGCGAGCCCGUGCGCGCCCGUGCGAGCCCAUACGAGCCCGUAGGAGGCCUCUGCGAGCCCGUAGAGGCCCGUGCGAGCUUGUGCAAGCCCGUGCGAGCCCAUACGAGCCCGUAGGAGGCCUCUGCAAGCCCGUAGAGGCCCGUGCGAGCUUGUGCAAGCCCGUGUCAGCCCCUGCCAGCCCGUACGAGCCCGUAGGAGGCCUCUGCGAGCCCGUAGAGGCCCGUGCGAACUUUUGCGAGCCCGUGCGCGCCCGUGCGAGCCCACACAAGCCCGUAGCAGGCCUCUGCGAGCCUGUAGAGGCCCGUGCGAGCUUGUGCAAAGCC
rnacentral:lncRNA from 1 species